GAUGAACGCUGGCGGCGUGCCUAAUACAUGCAAGUCGAGCGAACAGAUGAGGAUCUUGCUCCUCUGACGUUAGCGGCGGACGGGUGAGUAACACGUGUAUAACCUACCUAUAAUACUGGGAUAACUUCGGGAAACCGGAGCUAAUACCGGAUAAUAUAUUGAACCGCAUGGUUCAAUAGUGAAAGACGGUUGUGCGGUCACUUAUAGAUGGAUCCGCGCCGAAUUAGCUAGUUGGUAAGGUAACGGCUUACCAAGGCAACGAUGCGUAGCCGAAGUGAGAGAGUGAUCGGCCCCCCUGGAACUGGACCACGCACCAGCCUCCUACGGGAGGCAGCAGUCGGGAACCUUAGGCAAUGGGCGAAAGCCUGACGGAGCAACGCCACGUGAGUGAUGACGGUCUUCGGAUCGUAAAAAUCUGUUAUUAGUGAAGAACCACUGUGUACGUAACUAUGCACGUCUUGACGGUACCUAAUCAGAAAGCCCCGGCUAACUACGUG
rnacentral:rRNA from 1 species